rnacentral:lncRNA from 1 species
AUUAUUAAUAUUAUGAACAAGAAAAUCAAAGGAUAUAUUUCAUUGAACUUACUUAAAAAAGAUUGAAUCAAUAGUUAAUAUUGAUUUCAUUGCUUGAAGAUAGAAAUGCUCUAGCUUCAAGAAAAUUAUUCUUUAUCAAUGAAAAGAUGUAUUUCUUUCUUUUAGUAUAAAGUAAGAAUAUCUAAAAAGAAUAUUUGAUAAAUCUUAUUAAUUUUUAUAUGGAUAAGUGAUUUUAAAAUAAAAUCUUAAUAAAGACAUAUUCCAAUGGACUUAACAAAGAUUCAAAAUAUGUGCCAUUAUUGUAUUAUGUAAAGUCUUGCUUGAGAAUGCACCAAACACUUGGUUGUAGAAAGUAGAAUGAAAAUUGCAAUAACAAGAUCCUAACAACUUUAAUAGAAUCCUAAAUAUAAUUUAAUUAAAUCUUAAUAAUGCUAAUCAAUUUUUAAUCAAAUCCAAAAGAAAUUUUAAAGAAAUUAAAAAAAUACAUAAAGAAAUCUUAAAAAAAUAUUAAAAGAAUCUUAAAUAAAUCUUAAAUAAAUCCUAACUAAAUUCUAUUUUAAUUCUAAUUAAAAUUCUAAUAGAUCUUAAUUAAAUCUUAGGUCAAAUCCUAAUUAAAUCCUAAAUCUUAAACCAAACUCUAGAUAAAUCUUAAAUCCUAAACCAAAUCUUAGACAAAUCCUAAGUUCUAAGCAAAUCCUAAAUCCUAAAUCAAAUCCUAACCAAAACCUAAUCAACUCAAAUCAAUCCUAAGGUAGAUUAGAAG